GGCCUGAUGAACUUCAUCCAAGGGUAUUUAAAGACCUAUCUGAAGCAAUUUCGGAAUUAUUGGCGAAUAUCUUCAAGAACUCAAGGAAGUCUCUGCAGUUGAUGCCUAUCUCUUUAUAUGAGAGAGUCCAUGAGAAGCAACAGGGAGUGUGGUACUGCUGUGUCCUGCAGGAUGUGCGGCAGCUUUAACCUUCCUACUGAUGGUUAACCCUUCAUUGUACUCUAAAAAUCCUGGAGAGUGGAGUGAAGAUGAUGCAUGGCCAUGGCUUACCCCUUUCUGUACCAGCUGGGAAAAGGCUGGCAGGGGAUAGCAAACCAUACUCUUUUAUGGUGUGUAGCAGUUGCUGUUCCUCCAGAUUUCCAGACAGAUCAACAGAAGCUGUAGAUGCUCAACAGGGCCCAACCCUGACUCGUGUGAGAAAUCCACAAACACAACUGGACUACUCGUAUGAGUAAGGGUUACUGGAUCAGGCCCUAAUGCUCAGCAUGUCUCAGAAUGUAGCCGUAUUCCAGUUCUUAUGCGUGUUACUGUAUUGCAAUUUGUUUUUUUGUAGCUAUAGGCGUAGAAAUGCUGCUAAUGUUGUUUUUGUUCAAAUGCAUUGUAAUUUAGUCUGCAUCAGGGCCAGCAUGGGAAGAAUAACUUCAUCUUGCUACACUUUAAUUAGCUGCAUGAAGAAAACAAUCUAAAAGUUCUCUGAGAACUGAAAGCUUGAAUUAUAUUAAUUACAUUCCUUAUUGUUUUGCACAGAAUAAAACUGGCCACACCUAUAGAGCAAUUCUACAGCUCUGUUUACCAAAUAAAAUUACUGUAUCUUUCUGCCUCGGGGUCUGUCUACUCUAGCACUAUUGCUGGUAAAACUUUUGUUGGUCAGGGGUGUCAAACCUCCCCCGCCCCCCCCCCCCAGGACCGACAUAAGUUUCACUGACAAAAGUGCCAGUGUGGACAGUACUAUGUUGGCGGAAGAUACUCUCCUGCCGACAUAGCUACUGCUGCUCAUUGGGGGUGGCUUCAUUAUGCCAGCAGGAGAGCACUCUCCUGCUGGCAGAGAGCAGCUACAGGGGAGACCUUACAGCAGUGCAGCCACUGCAAAGUUUGUAGUGUAGACAUAGCCUCAGUCCCAGUGUCUUUCCCUCUUUCUCUCAUGUACAAGUUAAAGCAUAACCAGUUGCUCUCUAACAUUUUGGACAGAGCUCAUUUAAAGUAGCAAAUGGAGUUUCCCUUUCUGUAGGACAAAUGCAACUAAUCACAGCACAUAAUUUACAAAUAAAAGAAAUGUAUUGUCACAGGAAAAGUGACAUCAAAGCAGCUAUUUCCAACAGAAAGCCUAGUCUCUCUAAUUACCUGCACGCAUUUGCAUCACUCCUACUUAAGCCACCCAAGAAUUUCAACUAUCAAUAUCCUCUUUGUGUAAAAUCCCUUUGUACACAGUAGGACUGUCAAGAAAUACAAAGUAGCAUAGA